rnacentral:rRNA from 1 species
CCUACGGGAGGCAGCAGUGGGGGAUAUUGCACAAUGGGGGAAACCCUGAUGCAGCGACGCCGCGUGGGUGAAGAAGUAUUUCGGUAUGUAAAGCCCUAUCAGCAGGGAAGAAAGAAGACGGUACCUGACUACGAAGCCCCGGCUAACUACGUGCCAGCAGCCGCGGUAAUACGUAGGGGGCGAGCGUUAUCCGGAUUCACUGGGUGUAAAGGGAGCGUAGACGGCCGUGCAAGCCAGGAGUGAAAGCCCGGGGCCCAACCCCGGGACUGCUCGUGGAACUGUGCGGCUGGAGUGCGGGAGGGGCAGGCGGAAUUCCUGGUGUAGCGGUGAAAUGCGUAGAUAUCAGGAGGAACACCGGCGGCGAAGGCGGCCUGCUGGACCGCGACUGACGUUGAGGCUCGAAAGCGUGGGGAGCGAACAGGAUUAGAUACCCCAGUAGUC